AGGGACCGGAAGGCUUCGAUCCUACACACACUAGUUAACAGCUAGUUCGCCCAACCAACGGACAUCAGCCCC
rnacentral:tRNA from 1 species